AGUAAAUAGAUACCGGGUAGUCCACGCCGUAAACGAUGAGUACUAGGUGUAGGAGGUAUCGACUCCUUCUGUGCCGCAGUUAAACACAAUAAGUACUCCGCCUGGGAAGUACGGUCGCAAGAUCAAAACUCAAAGGAAUUGACGGGGGCCCGCACAAGCAGCGGAGCAUGUGGUUUAAUUCGAAGCAACGCGAAGAACCUUACCUAGACUUGACAUCCCCUGAAUAACGUAGAGAUACGCGAAGCCCUUCGGGGCAGGGAGACAGGUGGUGCAUGGUUGUCGUCAGCUCGUGUCGUGAGAUGUUGGGUUAAGUCCCGCAACGAGCGCAACCCUUAUCAUUAGUUGCUACCAUUUAGUUGAGCGCUCUAGUGAGACUGCCCGGGUUAACCGGGAGGAAGGCGGGGAUGACGUCAAAUCAUCAUGCCCCUUAUGUCUAGGGCUACACACGUGCUACAAUGGUGAGAACAACGAGAUGCAAUACCGCGAGGUGGAGCAAAAACUUCAAAACUCAUCUCAGUUCGGAUUGUAGGCUGAAACUC
rnacentral:rRNA from 1 species